rnacentral:rRNA from 1 species
CCUACGGGUGGCAGCAGUGAGGAAUAUUGGUCAAUGGACGCAAGUCUGAACCAGCCAUGCCGCGUGCAGGAGGACGGCACAGUGUAUUGUAAACUUCUUUUGUACGAGGACAAAUCCCGAUACGCGUCUCCGGUUGAGAGUAUCUUACGAAUAAGAAUCGGCUAACUCCGUGCCAGCAGCCGCGGUACUACGGAGGAUGCGAGCGUUAUCCGGAUUUAUUGGUUUUAAAGGGUGCGUAGGCGGUUCGAUAAGUUAGCGGUUAAAUCCCGGGGCUCAACUCCGGCCCUGCCUCUGAGACUGUCGGGCUCGAGUUUAGGUGAGGUAGGCGGAAUGUAUGGUGUAGCGGUGAAAUGCAUAGAGAUCAUACAGAACACCGAUUGCGAAGGCAGCUUACC